UACGUAGGUGGCAAGCGUUGUCCGGAAUUAUUGGGCGUAAAGCGCACGUAGGCGGUCUGUUAUGUCGGAUGUGAAAGCCCUUGGCUCAACUGAGGAAGUGCAUCCGAAACUGGCAGGCUAGAGUACUAAAGAGGGUCGCGGAAUUCCCGGUGUAGAGGUGAAAUUCGUAGAUAUCGGGAGGAAACACCGGUGGCGAAGGCGGCUCUCUGGUACGUGACUGACGCUGAGACGCGAAAGCG
rnacentral:rRNA from 1 species